AUCACAUGGACCACUGGCGGGCCCGUAGGUCUGAAAGAUGGGAAGCAACCUUGGCCUGAGGGAGAACAGUCCCUGUGGAGGAUCCAUAGUGGAACGUGGGGCUUACAGCAUGGGUGUCCAGCAGUGUGCAUGCACGCUCACGUGUGUGUGUUGGGCCAAGCUAGCACCCAACCUCAUGCUGAAGGUCUUCCACAGUACGAAGUCACAAAGAGAAUCUCCGGUCACUCUUAAGUGGAAGAAAACACACCGCCGCGUGACGAUUGCGGUCCAACGCCCAUGGGACGUUUGCA
rnacentral:lncRNA from 1 species